rnacentral:rRNA from 1 species
GUUCGAUCGCGGCUCAGAUUGAACGCUGGGAUGCUUACAUACAAGUCGAACACGGCAGCACGGACUUCGGUCUGGUGGCGAGUGGCCGAACGGGUGAUAAUAGCGUCGGACAUUCGUGGCGAGGAUAGCUGCACGCGCAGCGUAGCUAAUACCACGCUCGCCAGCGAGAAAGCGGGGACCUUCCCGGGCUGCCUGGCCGGCGAAAGCCGAUAUCGGAUUGGCUAGUUGGUGGGGUAACGGCAUAUAGGCGACGAUCCGUAGCUGGUUUGAGAGGACGACCAGCUACACUGGGACUGAGACACGGCCGGGCUCACAGGAGGAGGGAGCAGCGGUGAUUUUGGACAAGCGGAAGCCUGAUCCCUUAUAUCCCGCGUGUGCGAUGAAGGCCCUUCGGGUUGUAAAGCACUUUUGGCAGGAAAAGAGCGGCACGGGGUAAUACCCCAUUCGCUGGCUGUUACCUACAGAAUAAGCGCCGGCUAACUACGUGCCAGCGGCCGCGGUGUACAUGGGAAUACUAAGCGUUAAUCGGAAUACUGGGCAUCUAAAAGCGUGCCUGAGCAGUUCAGAGGAAAAAUCAAUAAUCUAGAGCUUAGCUUUGAACUGCGUUUAACUACCGAGCUUCAGGAAAUUAUUGUGUCAGAGGGAGGUGGAAUUCCGCGUGUAGCAGUGAAAUGCGUAGAUGUCUGGAGGAACACACCGAUGGCGAAAGCAACCAUCCUGGGAUAACUGAGCGCUCAUGCACGAAAGCGUGGGGAGCAAGAGCAGGAUUAUAGAUACCUGGUAGUCCACGCCCUAAACGAUGUCAACUAACUGUUGGGGCCUUCGGGCCUUAGGUAGCGCAGCUAACGCGUGGUUGACAGCCGCCUAGAAGUACAGUGCCAAAGUUCAAAACUCGAGGAAUUGACGGGGACCACACUACAAGCGGUGGAUGAUGUGGAUAAUUCGAUGCAACGCGAAAGGCCCUUACGCCACGACAUAUCUGGAAUCCCCGAAAGAGAUUUGGGAGUGCUCGCAAAGAACCCGGAACACCUGCGAUGCUACACAUAGCUGUCGUCAGCUCGUGUCGUGGUCAUUACAGGAUUGGUCACCUGGCGAGCGCAACCGCCGUCGUCGUUGCUACGAAAGGGCACUCUAAUGAGACUGCCGGUGAUAAGCCGGAGGAAGGUGGGGAUGACAUCAAGUCUAUCGUAAUAUAUGGGUAAGGGCUUCACACGUCAUACAAUGGUCGGGACAGAGGGUCGCCAGCCGCAGUGUCAGGAAACCCGAUCAUGGUCCAGAUCGCAGUCUACUGCUUUCGACUGCGUGAGUCAAAUCAUGAUAAUCGCAGAUCAAUAAUGUCGCGGAUGAAUACGUUCCCGGGUCUUGUACACCGCCCGUCACCUGCAUGGAAUUAGAGUUUUUUUGCAAGUAGAUUAGCCUAACCGUAAGGAGGGCGAUUACCUGAAGCCGGAUUCAUGACUGGGUGAAGUCGUAACAAGGUA